UGUCUCCUGCAUUGGCAGGCAGAUUCUUUACCACUGCACCACCUGGGAAGGCCCCAGAAAAGUUAAGUAAUCUUUUUAGGGUCAUACAACAUACCUGGAACAUUCAAGAUCUACAGCCAAGUCUGUGUGCUUCCCAACAAAGUGGUCUCAAGGUAAGAACUCAGUUUAGGAUUCAGAACCAGGGCUGGCUAUGUGUUUGGCAAUGAGUGCUGAGAAGCUACAAAGUAUCCCAUUCUCCAAGCCUAUCUCUGGAGGCUCAGUUGAGACAUGAGUCUCUUCCAUCCUCUGGCUGUGGUUACACAUUAAGGUAAUAAUUCCUUACCUCUGAUGACUAAGCCAGCUUUUUUCUGUUGACAAGAGAGACUUGAAACAGCCUGAGAGCAGGAGGACCUUGGAACACAAAUGCCUGGUGCCAAAGACAACACCAGAAGCCAUAUGACAUAGACAUCACUAAUCAAUCAUGACCCUCUUUCCCAAGACAACAGCAGAAGNNNNNNNNNNNAGACAUCACUAAUCAAUCAUGACCCUCUUUCCCAAGACAACAGCAGAAGCCAUAUGAUGUAGACAUCACUAAUCAGUCAUGACCCUCUUUCCCAGUAGAGCUUCAGGCUCCUCAACACAGGUGAUUUCUCCAGUGGAUUGAACUGACCCAGGAGAUGAAACUUAUUUUCACGACAUAUGGUGACCAUAUUUCCUACAUGCAAAAUUCGGAUGCGUGGUUUGACUGAAGGUUAUUUUCCUGAUUUGUUAAGUCAUUUAUGUUUUAUAAAAGCAUAAAAUGAAAUCACAUUCAGUUAUACACUUAGCAAAUCACUUUUAAUGAACAGAAUGAAAGUACCCAUAACCAGCAAUGUCCCUGAGAAUCUAGGUCAUAUGGUUGCCACAGGUGACCACGGGUACAUACCUCUCAGCCUUGCGCAGAGAAGACAAUAAAUGCCCAGGGAAAAGUGAAGAGGAAACCAUCUGAGACGAGGAAGUGGAGGAGCAGUGAGGAUAAAAUCCGUGGACAUCACCAUCUCACCAGGGUCCGCACCUGGCUGUGGACUG
rnacentral:lncRNA from 1 species